UCUGAGGCCUCAACAAACCACCAAAUGGAGAGAACCUGAGGCCCUACCAGGACUGGACCAGUCAUUACAACUCUCUACAGAAAGACCUAUUUGACGUCUUCCCCACACAUGGCUGCCUCUCCAGAUUAACCACUUGGUUCACCAGCAGAUGCAGGUCCUGGCAAGGAAUAGACAGUUGGCUAUGGCUAUGGCUCACUAGAUAGUUGGCUAAUGGCUCCCCACUGGCUUUUUUACUGGUUGGUACUUAUAUCUAGACCUUGGACUAUUUAUUGGUUCUUCCCAUUCGUUCCCUUCUAAUCAAGAUCCUGCUUGACCUCUAAUCUCUGUCUUCUACACUGAUACCUACAUUACUGCCUGGAUCCUUCCAGGCUCUUCCAGAAUACAUACCCUUUCUGUAAGCCCAUCCAUACUUGUUUGCAGAGCCCAGGGAAAGGUAAA
rnacentral:lncRNA from 1 species